GGCCCGGCGGGGGCGCGCGGGACCCAGUAGCCGGCAGGAAGCGGCCCCGCCCUUCGCGUGCGGCCUUGGGGCCGGGGCGGGAGCCUGGCUGCGCGCUCGCACUUGACCUGCAUCCGGGUUUUCUUGUUCCGCGCAGGCUGCCUUUCCCCAUGAGAUAGCAGAAUGGCUGCUAACAACUUCACAUCAUAUCCUUACCAUUAGAGAGUUUCUUUUCCUCAGUGCUGUCAACAAAAGUCCCAGGACUGCAUCUCAUUGGUCUAACUUGGGUUACUCGUGCAUCAUUAAGCCACUCUCUUCAGAAGGGGCGUGGACUAUUCUGAUAGCCCAGACCUGGGUCAUGUGCUAACCUCUGGAGCUAAGGAGAUACCAGCGUGGACUGCUUCAAUGGGUCCCUAAUUCUCUGGCUUACAGUUGAAUUUAUCCAUAGAAGACAUUGGAAGCGUGCAGAGGAUUGGAGGAGGAUGAAGUUGGGACCUGGGACCUGGGACCCUUUGCUACAGUACUUGCACCUGGACAAAUAUCUCCUCGACCAGCAGAAUACAAGAAACUAUAAGGAACUAAAAAUAACUGCCCACAUGUGCAGUUGGGGCAAAAUAUGAACAAUGAGCAAGGUCUGAUGGGUGCCACAUGCAUGUGAGCAGAGGAGUUAAAAGCAACGUGUGUGCGGCGUUCUUUGCACAUAGCAUUCCUGACGUCCUCAUCAGGCGUGCUCAAGGCAAAUCCUAGGAAGAAGGCAACGGACAAGGAUCCCCAUCAUGUCCUUCUUACGUGUGUUACUUCCCUGUAUCAGCCUAUCAGACAACCACUUCUGCUGAAAAUGAUGACCUAGAUGGAAAGGGAAGGCUCAGGCCACCCACAGCUCCUUCUCUUUUUAUUUCUUUACUCAUCAAUAAGCUGAAGGCAGAGAAUGUUGGUAGGAUAUGUGUAUACCCAUUAAGAAAUAAAAACAGUUGAGUUAGUUUUGUGUAGGAUUUCCAUUGUUUGGGUAAGAACACAAUACCUAUUCAUGUACAAGCAAUGAAAUACGAAUUGUGUCAUAUCAGUGAUUUCCAUAUGAGUUAGUGCUCUUAUAUUUGUGUCUAAAAAUGGGUAUUGCAUAAAAUAAAAAUGAAUGGUAA